rnacentral:rRNA from 1 species
UUCUUAAAGAUAUUUAUUUUAAGUAAUCCCUGCUCAAUGAAUUUUAAAUAGCCGCAGUUAAUACUGUGCUAAGGUAGCAUAAUAAUUAGCCUUAUAAUUGAAGGAUAGAAUAAAUGGGAAUACGUAUAAAAAUCUGUCUCUCUUAUUUUAUUUAAAAUUUACUUUAAAGUAAAAAGGCUUUAAUUUUAAAAUUAGACGACAAGACCCUAUCGAACUUUACUUUAGUUAACUUGGAUAGUAAAAUAAUAAAAACUUAUUUUUAUAAAUUAUUAAAAUGACCUUAAUUUUUAAAAUAUUUGAACAAGUUACCGUAGGGAUAACAGCAUAAUUUUAUUUUAAAGCUCUUAUUAAAAAUAAAUAUUAUGACCUCGAUGUUGAAUAAUAACCUAUAAUUAGAAAAAUAAUUAAAAGGAAGACUGUUCGUCUUUUAAUAAAUUACA